UCACAGCAGCAGAUGGCACAGUGGAAUUACUAGCUAGUACUGCAGGCUGGAGCAGCCAGUCACGUCCAGUUAUCUGCUUCUCUCCUCCAUAAGGUCUCUCCCUUUAUAUUCUUCCCAUGAGCACCACACCUUUGAGCAGGCCAAGACAAAUGUCUUCCGGAUCUAGCAACCCAGCAAGGAUGCCAAGGCCUAUUCAAGAAGGUGUAACAGGGGCUGGAGCAAUGGCUCAGCGGUUAAGAGCACCGACUGCUCUUCCAGAGGUUCUGAGUUCAAUUCCCAGCAACCACAUGGUGGCUUGAAACCAUCUGCAAUGGGAUCUGAUGCCCUCUUCUGGUGUGUCUGAAGACAGCUACAGUGCACUCACAUACAUAGAUAAAUCUUUUAAAAAAGAAGUUGUAAUAGGUUGUAAUAGGACAGAGAGAAAAUGAGGGGCCCAGGGGACUGUAGGGCGGAUGCUCUGGGAUAGGGAUGUUGGAGUGAGGCAGGAAUUCAGUUCAAGCGGCUUCCUGGAGGAGGUGUCAUUUGAGUAAAACCUCAAAGGGGAAAAUAGUAUUUAAACAUGCGUUAACAUGCAAAGUAAAUUUGGAAAUGCAAAUUUGUUAAUAGCAAUUGGUCAAUUUUGUUCCACGUUUUAUUCUUCUAAGUAACGUCUGAAUUUGUAGCAAUUUAUUUCUUACCUAAGUUUCAAAUAGUCUUUUUACGUAUUUUUAAUUUUUUAAGUUCAUUUACGCCAUGUGGUGGGUGUCUUGCCUGCAGGUAUGUUUGUGUAUUAUGUGCAUUCCUGGUUCCCGAGGAGUCAGAGAGGGGAAAAGAGCCAUGGAAACCAUUGUGAGCCACCAUGGAUGUGCUCAGAAUCGAACACAGUUCUCUGCCAGAACAAGUCUCCUUAAGUGCUGAGCUGUCUCUCCUGCUCUGGUUUCUGUUUUUCUGGUUUCAGCAGGACCAGGCCUGAUUUCGAAAAGACCAUCAGGCACCAGCUCCAGGAACAGACCAUGAAGUCCAUGGUGGCAGGAGCUGGAUGCGAAGAGCUCACAUCUGGAACCACAAACACCAAGCAGGGAUGGAGCUUUGGGGAUGGGAAUGGCGUGAGGCUUUGAAACCUCAAAAACUUCCAGCGAAGUGCUUCCAGGAAGGCUUCUCCUACCUACGCAGACGGUGCAGCCAACUGGGGACCAAGUAUGAGACAUCUGAGCCUGUUGGACUGGGGGUGGGGUUCUCAGAUGCAGUAGAAGUUGCCCUUAAGAUUCAUCUCACUUUCCCGGACCCACACUUGGAAUGGAUGGUUCUCCUUUCCCCUCUUUCCUCGGAGUCAUGUUCCGUAUCCCAGGCGGGCCUUGAACUCACAGAAUUCCUGUCUCAACCUGGGCUUACAAGCGUGCCGUACCACUGAGCUUCGUAGGGUGUUUUUGUUUAUUUGUUUGGUCUACAAUCGACACUUUACUUCAACACGCCAAGGUCUGCCGCGUUUAUAUUUCUCCUGCUUAGAAGUCAGUAUAUACCUUUUUUUUUUUUUUUUUUUUUUUUUUUUGGAGCUGGGGACCGAACCCAGGGCCUUGCACUUGCUAGGCAAGCGCUCUACCACUGAGCCAAAUCCCCAACCCCUUGUAUGCUUUUUUAUGUAUUUUUCUUAUAUUCUAGGGCAACUUCAGCCAUUUUAUUUUUCUGUAGCUUUAUUGGGAUAGGUUUCACAGGCUGUGAAAUCUGCCACCGCACAGUGCCCAAUUCCUAGACUCUUUGUACACUCACAAAUCUCCGAGCCAUAGCACUUUGUAAUCAAUAAUCAGCAAAAGAGCCCUCUGUCACCUCAGCUCCUUGUCUUCCGCACACCCCGGAACCCACUAACCUGCUUUCUGUAUUAACAGAUUUAUUUAUUCUAAAACUUUCAUACAGAGAGCCUGUGAGCGGGCUCAGCAGGCAAAGGCACUUGCCACCAAGCUUGAUGGCUGGAGUUUGGUGCCUGGGACCUCAGAGUGGAAGAAGAGAAUUGACUCCCUCAAUUUAUCCUCUGACAUCCACAUGCUCCCCCACCCCAAAAAUGUAAAGACAGUUCAUGCAAACUGAAUCAUACAAUACGUGA